rnacentral:rRNA from 1 species
GCGGUGAGCAUGUGGUUUAAUUCGAAGCAACGCGAAGAACCUUACCAGGUCUUGACAUCCCCUGACAACCGAGAGAUCGGGCGUUCCCCUUCGGGGGACAGGGUGACAGGUGGUGCAUGGUUGUCGUCAGCUCGUGUCGUGAGAUGUCGGGUUAAGUCCCGCAACGAGCGCAACCCUCGACCUUAGUUGCCAGCAUUCAGUUGGGCACUCUAAGGUGACUGCCGGCUAAAAGUCGGAGGAAGGUGGGGAUGACGUCAAAUCAUCAUGCCCCUUAUGACCUGGGCUACACACGUGCUACAAUGGGCGGUACAAAGGGUCGCGAACCCGCGAGGGGGAGCCAAUCCCAAAAAGCCGCUCUCAGUUCGGAUUGCAGGCUGCAACUCGCCCGCAUGAAGCCGGAAUCGCUAGUAAUCGCGGAUCAGCAUGCCGCGGUGAAUACGUUCCCGGGCCUU